rnacentral:lncRNA from 1 species
GUAAUUUUUGUCUAUACUCCAAGCAAGAAUGGCAAGACAAGUCUAUAGCCCUUGAUAUUUCUCUAAUUUUCUUUUCUUUUCUUUUAAAAAAAUUUUUUUAUUAGGUAUUUUCCUCGUUUACAUUUUCAAUGCUAUCCCAAAGGUCCCCCAUACCCACCCACCCCCAAUCCCCUACCCACCCACUCCCCCUUUUUGGCCCUGGCGUUCCCCUGUACUGGGGCAUAUAAAGUUUGCAAGUCCAAUGGGCCUCUCUUUGCAGUGAUGGCCGACUAGGCCAUCUUUUGAUACAUAUGCAGCUAAAGACAAGAGCUCCCGGGUACUGGUUAGUUCAUAUUGUUGUUCCACCUAUAGGGUUGCAGAUCCCUUUAGCUCCUUGGGUAAUUUCUCUAGCUCCUCCAUUAGGGACCGUGUGACCCAUCCAUCAGCUUACCUUUUAAACCCUCACUGAAUAGCUGCUGUGUGGAUGUCAGCAGGAGCAAAGUCAGCUUGGGGGAGAGGGCAACUGUGAUGGUGCAGGUCUGUGAGCUCAGUUACUAGCGGAGACAGAAGAACUGUAUGUUCAAAGCCUUGUUUGGGCAACCUAGUGAGAUUCUGCCUCAAAAAUCAAAAAGAACUGGAGACAUGGUUCAGUGGUAAAGCACUUGUCCAGCAGGAGCAGGUCCCAGUAAAACACAUGCCACCACAAACCAAGUAAGAUCCACUUUGCUAAUGAGGGAAUGUAAACAGCUAAAAAAAAUCGCUGAAAAUAAAAAAUGCCAGAGGGAAAAGUAGCCUGUGAUGGGAGUUCAGGAGUUGUGUUCACCGUCGAGGAAGACAAGGACCAAUUUGAUGGAAGAGCUGACUUUGCACUUGUCAGGCAAGACUGACUUUUUACUAGGUCAUGUAGAUUAAAUAGGAAGGAUACAGGAGGGGGGAAGGUGCCGAGGGAGGAAAGACAAAAAUGCAUGGGGAGGCCACACGAGGCAGGAUGCUCUGACCAAGGCCUUCACCCCGACCCAGCCUAUGACUUUAACCUGCUUACUGAACAUUUCCAUCUUUGACUCUGUUGUAUUCUACAGCCAGCAGAAAUAACAUGAGAUAGUGCCUGGCAAAAUUGGUUCUGAAUGAAAACAAUGCCUGGACUCAUGAAUUAA